ACGGGCCUGAAGACAGCAAUUUCCCAAAGGACUAAGCUAAGGAGAGUGGAGAUCUCUUUUCCGUGAUCGGACUGAACGGCGCGGUUGAAGCCUACAGCUUCUCACCGGCCAACGCAGCUCUUCAAGCACCGGAAUUAGGGUUUUCGACUACUCUUUCCUCCUUGACCUGCAAUCAAUGGAGGAAGGGAGAAGUAAAUCUAGAAGAGACGAUUUGGAUGAACCAAAGAAGAGUCAUCGUGAACGCGACAGGGAAAGGGAUAAAGAGAGAAACGGAGAUAGAGGCAGGGACAAGGAGAAGAGAGAUCGGGAAAGGAGUUAUGAUUCUGAAGAGCUGGUGCAACACGAGAGGGAAAAGGAAAAACCUAGGAGGGAUAAGGAUAAAACACGGAAUCGGGAUGAUGAAAGAGAUAGAGGAAGGGAUAGGAGGAAGGAGAGGGACAGGGCGAGGGAGAAAACCAGGGACAAGGAGAAGAGGGAAAGGGCAAGAGAGAAAGAAAGAGAUAAGAGGGAUAGAGACAGAGACAGGGAGAGGAGAGAACGUGAGAGAGAUAGGGAAAAAGAAAGAGACAAAGAUAGAAGGAAGCGGCGGGAAGUUGUUAGCGAAUAUAGUGAUGAAGAUUCUACUGAACAUGGUAGGAAGCGGCGUAGGAGAGAUGACGACGACCAUAGAGCUCACGAAAGUAAUAGCAGGAUAAACAAGCAGAGAGAUCACGUUGACGAGAGUCCACGAGAAAAGAGUGAAGAAGAUGCAUUUGAUAAGAAUGAAACAAAACCAACUCGUGAAGAGGAGUUGGAAAAUGAACAAAAGAGGUUGGAUGAAGAAAUGGAAAAACGAAGGCGAAGAGUUCAGGAGUGGCAGAAGUCAAGGAGAUUGAAAGAAGAAGCUGAUGGAGAUAAGCAGGGUGAACUGAAUGCUGAUGAACCAAAAUCUGGCAAGACAUGGACCCUUGAAGGUGAAUCUGAUGAUGAGUAUGAAAAUGCCAGGCCCACUGAGACGGAUAUGGAUGUGGAUGAAAAUUCUAAGCCACUUGUAGAUGGUGAACAGAUUGCAGUGAACUUCAACAAUGGCAAUGAAGCAGCUGCAUCUCCACCGCAAGAUAGCAUUGGUGGUGAUGCAGCUGAUGAUGAAAUUGAUCCUCUGGAUGCUUUCAUGAACUCCAUGGUUCUGCCUGAAGUGGAGAAGCUAAACAAAGUUGAGGUCCCCACAGUUAAUGAUGAUAAAAUUGUAGAGUUGAAGAGCAGAGAUAAACCAAGCGAUCAGAGUGGUGGUAAGGCUCAAAGAAGAAUUUCAAAUAAAUCAAUGGGCAGAAUAAUUCCUGGUGAAGAUUCUGACACAGACUAUGGAGAUCUUGAGAACGAUGGAGAUACUUUAGAAGAUGAAGACGACGACGAGUUCAUGAAAAGGGUGAAGAAGACAAAGGCUGAGAAGCUCUCUAUUGUUGACCAUUCAAAGAUGGACUAUCAGCCUUUCCGUAAGAACUUCUAUAUCGAAGUGAAGGAGAUAUCAAGGAUGACUUUGGAAGAAGUUGCUGCUUAUCGGAAGCAAUUGGAAUUGAAGAUACAUGGAAAAGAUGUUCCGAAGCCUGUUAAAACCUGGCAUCAAACUGGACUUACAAGUAAAAUCUUAGAAACAAUCAAGAAACUUAACUAUGAGAAGCCAAUGCCAAUACAAGCUCAGGCAUUGCCAAUAGUCAUGAGUGGCCGAGAUUGCAUCGGUAUUGCCAAAACUGGAUCUGGAAAAACGCUUGCAUUUGUGCUUCCAAUGCUGAGGCAUAUCAAGGAUCAAUCACCUGUUGUACCUGGUGAUGGUCCUAUUGGGCUUAUAAUGGCUCCUACCAGAGAGUUGGUCCAGCAGAUACACAGUGACAUAAAAAAAUUUUCAAAGGUAAUGGGUCUAAGGUGUGUGCCUGUAUAUGGAGGUUCCGGUGUUGCCCAACAAAUUAGUGAGCUUAAGCGUGGAGCUGAAAUAGUAGUUUGUACUCCAGGAAGGAUGAUUGAUAUACUCUGCACCAGUGCCGGGAAAAUAACAAAUCUGCGUAGAGUUACAUAUUUAGUCAUGGAUGAAGCUGAUAGGAUGUUUGACAUGGGUUUUGAACCUCAGAUUACUCGAAUUGUGCAGAAUAUUCGACCAGACCGUCAAACUGUACUAUUUUCUGCUACUUUUCCUCGUCAAGUUGAAAUUUUGGCUCGUAAAGUGUUAAACAAACCUGUUGAGGUACAGGUUGGUGGGAGGAGUGUUGUGAAUAAGGACAUAGCACAGUUAGUUGAAGUGAGGCCCGAAAAUGAGAGGUUUUUGAGACUGUUAGAACUGUUGGGAGAAUGGUACGAGAAAGGCAAGAUUCUAAUUUUUGUCCACUCACAGGAGAAAUGUGAUGCUCUCUUUAGGGAUCUCCUGAAGCAUGGUUACCCUUGCCUCUCACUCCAUGGAGCAAAGGAUCAGACUGAUCGUGAGUCUACCAUAUCAGAUUUCAAAAGCAAUGUGUGCAACUUGUUAAUUGCAACUAGUAUUGCUGCCAGGGGUUUAGAUGUCAAGGAGCUGGAGCUAGUGAUCAAUUUUGAUGUACCAAACCACUAUGAAGAUUAUGUGCAUCGUGUGGGUCGCACAGGCCGAGCCGGUCGUAAAGGGUGCGCCAUCACAUUUAUUGCUGAGGAAGAUUCAAGAUAUGCACCAGAUCUGGUGAAAGCAUUGGAACUCUCCGAGCAGGUUGUUCCUGAUGACCUGAGAGCUCUUGCUGAUAGUUUCAUGGCGAAGGUGAAUCAAGGACUAGAGCAGGCCCAUGGAACUGGCUAUGGUGGCAGUGGUUUCAAAUUUAACGAGGAAGAAGAUGAAGUGAGGAGGGCAGCAAAGAAAGCCCAAGCUAAAGAAUAUGGUUUUGAGGAGGACAAAUCAGAUUCAGAAGAUGAAGACGAUGGUGUCCGGAAGGCGGGUGGUGAUAUCUCACAGCAGGCAGCUUUGGCCCAGAUAGCUGCUAUAGCAGCUGCCACUAAAGUCAGUGCAGUUUCAAUCACAACUCCCAGCUCUGCUGCUCAGCUACUUCCAAAUGGGGGAUUACCUGUUUCUCUGCCCGGUGUUCUUGGGCUCACAAUUCCAGGAACAAUGCCAGUUAUUCCUAGUGCAACAUUGCCUACAGUUACUAAUGAUGGGGCUGCUGCAAGGGCAGCACUAGCAGCUGCAAUGAACUUGCAACACAACCUAGCCAAGAUUCAAGCUAGUGCAAUACCUGAACACUAUGAAGCUGAAUUGGAAAUUAACGAUUUCCCACAGAAUGCUCGAUGGAAGGUAACCCAUAAGGAGACCUUAGGCCCAAUUUCAGAGUGGACUGGAGCUGCUAUUACUACUAGGGGACAGUUCUUUCCACCAGGCAAGAUUGCUGGACCUGGAGAGCGCAAGCUUUACUUGUUCAUUGAAGGUCCUACUGAACAAUCUGUUAAGAGAGCUAAAGCUGAGUUAAAACGUGUCCUUGAGGACAUUACAAACCAAACACUGUCACUACCCGGUGGAUCACAACCAGGCAGAUACUCGGUCGUUUAAGUGUGAGAACUUAAUCUUUACUUUGACGGCAUGGUUUUCAUGAAUCCUUUUGUUGCUGGAAAUUGCACGUAUCAUGUGAUUUUCCCCCUUUCUUUGUUUCUAUUUUCAAAUUGAGAAACAAAAGAUUCUAUUAGUUGAGUCAGGAGCAUAGUAUUCUCAGGAUUUCUAUUUCUUCUUAGCUUUCUAAUAUCUUGUAGAAUUUUGCCCUAGAUGUAAGAUAUCAUUAAUAUGUAUAUUAUUUCAAUGUUCGCCUCUUUUGAUUUUUGUUCUGUUUUUCUUUUCCUAUGGUGCGAGGGAUGUUAUAUACCUAGAUCACAUGUUCAAUAUUGUCUCUCCGCUAUUACCUUGCAAUAGUGGCUAUCAGAUGGCAAUUAUGGUGCGCCACCCUUUGCGUCUAAUUUUGAAUGCUGCAGUUGAUUGUUUUUCUUCCGUGAUCCUCAUGAUGUUCUGAUUUGCAGCUGGAAUGUUGAAAGCCCUCAAGUUAGAUGGUCAUGGUUUGUCAUAUCUGGUUUAUGAAAUGCAUCCACCAUUGCAGGGUUGUGAAAUCUGGGAGAAGGAAAUACCAUUACCAGACCAGAGCUCGGACCAAAGAAAUUAAGAGGGUGGCAAGGGGAGGUCUCCCGGAGGAUGGGAAUCAGAAAUGUCCUUCCUUAUCCCUCAGUUAGAAGUUGGGGAGUCCUAUUGGCUUCUUUAGAAUGUGUUUUGGUUGUUUCCAAUUCCAUUAUGUGAUAAUGGUUUGCCUUGUAGCCUUUUUAUGCAGCGAAGUGAAGGUAUUUUGAACUCUGAUCGUCCUUCAUGAGGAAGCUUGCAUUUGGAAUGGAUGUUAUUCUUCAUUCAGUUGGGUAACGUGUAAAACAUUCCCUUGGAUGGAACAAUCAAGAAAGCACUGUUCCAUUUUCAUAUUGUAAAACCUGCUAACCAUCUAUUGGCCAAAUAUCUGAAAAUGAGGUUCUAAAUAGGAUGUUAUAUCCUUUUCAUUGCACAUGAAUGCUGUUUAAAGCAUAGGUUCUCAUCAUUGAAUAUCUGUAGGUACCAAUUACUGUUCACUCUGUUAGAUUUGUCAUCAUAAAACUCAUGUGAAACAUACAAAUACAUAUGAAGUUGAAAAAUAUUAAUGGACGAUUAUACAGUUUUUAUCUAACCAUUUGUUUUAUUGAGCUUCCCCUAUAUGGCUAUGAGGAAGACAGACCCUGAAUGUGUGAAUUAUGUCACAGCCAGAGCCUUAAUGUAAUCUUCGGAGGACUCUCAUUCUUCUCAUCCAUAGCAGCUUUGUAGUUAACACGAAGAGAAAGAAAAGAGAAGAUGCAACAAUUCUAGAUAAAGUUGAAGUGCUUACUUGAAUUGGCCAAGGAGAUGGUGGUGGUCUCGUCCGGAUCAAGCCAUACUCGACGUUUGCCACAGUUGAGGCUGCUGGCGGCAAGCCGCUUUUGUAGGGUGAGAGACACCAUUGCUGGUUCUGCUUGUGGUGGCUUCUUCUCUACACUGAACCAAAAGAAUGCAAACUUGAAAGAGCUUGAGGUGAGCUAAUUGGCUUAAGUGCUUUCUAUAUGAAAACAAAUUUGAAAGGUUUUAUAUAGAAAGUAAAAUGUCUAUUGCUUGGUUUUGUGUUACUUGGAAUGCAAGGAUUAUGCCUUCUUCGUUUCUUCCAUAUUCCCCCCUUUGUUUCUUUGACCAUUCAAACAGGGCUUGAAAAUUUUAAGUGUUUCCUUGGGGCCAAAGUAAAGUUGUAAUUAAUUUAUUUUAGUGUUCUCUUUUAUUAAAGUGUGGAAGGAUGAUGUGUGGCAAUUGAUAUAUAUAUUUCAUUGAUUCAGCUAUUGAAUCUCGCAUUUAUAAGA